rnacentral:rRNA from 1 species
CGCGACCCCAGGUUAUGCGUGACUACCCGCGGAGGUUAAAGCGUGUCUAUGCGUUGCAUGAACC